rnacentral:lncRNA from 1 species
AAAACUUCGAGUUUUCAUGGGUGAUGUGUUUAAAUGAAAAACUUGAAGUUUUCAAACAAGGCAUGGUUAUAAGAACUUCAGAUUUCAAAAUAAUUAUGAACUUCAUGUUCAUAUAUUCUUGCAGGCAAAUACAAAUAUAUACAAACAAAUAUGCAACAAGAAUAUGCAAAGAAAUAAUUUUAAGUUUAUAAUUAUAAUUGAAUUUUAAUUAUUUGGACUUCGGGCCAAAUUAAAGUGUGGGCGAAAAAAUAUAAAACCCAUUUGGCCUAAAAUAAUUAGGCGAAUAAAACACGGGACCCAAAAGAAGAUAUAAGCCCACAGGGUGGCUUAAUAACAUGGUGUCG